CCAUAUACAUUUCGGUAGCUUACUCAUCAGAACUUCACAGUUAAGCGUGCUUGACCUGGAGUAGUACUGGGAUGGGUGACCUUCUGGGAAGUUUUCCAGAAAUUGC
rnacentral:rRNA from 1 species